GGUCAUCAAAGAGGCCAAACAACUGACUCCAACAACUGAGCUGUGCCGACUUCUAAAAGCUGCGGAGAAACUUGCAGAGAACGAUGAAACGGACUGGGACAGUGACAUCGCUUCUAUGCUGCUUCUUCUCUAUCUCUUGCCACCCACAGCUGGACGGAAGAGGACCAAAAUAAGUCCAAGUGAUGCAGUGGACAAAAUGGUGCACUUUCAUAAGUCAUGCUGCAGCAUCAAUGAAUAUCUGCAGGAAAGGGAGAGUAAACAACCAU